rnacentral:lncRNA from 1 species
UAACUCCUUAAGGGGUCAAUUGACAAUUUUGGUCAAUUGACUUAUUUGUAGAUCUUACUUUGCUUAACAUUUUUGCUAUUAACAGUUUAUCUGUAUCUAUAAUAAUAUUCAAGAUAAUAACCAAACACUGCAAAUUUUCUUUAAAAUCAUCAGUUCAGGGGCAUUAUACCUGAAAAACCAGUUACCCAAUUCGGCUGAAAAUUUCAGGACAGGUAGACCUUGACCUAAUAAAUACUUUAACUUCUUGUCUUAUUUGCUCUAAAUGCUGGAGUUUUUGAGAUAUAAGCCAAAAACUGCAUUUUACCCUGUGUUCUAUUUUUAGCCAUGACGGCCAUGUUUUUGACGAAAUAGAAAAUAAAACACAAACUUUAUUUUAUACACCCUACUGAUCAUUCAAAUGAAGUUUGGAUGAAUUUGGUUGAGUAGUUUUAGAGAUUUUGUAAAGUUAGCAAAUAUGAUGAACAAAUUGUG